UACGUAGGGUGCGAGCGUUAAUCGGAAUUACUGGGCGUAAAGCGUGCGCAGGCGGUUUUGUAAGUCAGAUGUGAAAUCCCCGGGCUUAACCUGGGAAUGGCAUUUGGGACUGCAAGGCUGGAGUGCGGCAGAGGAGACUGGAAUUCCUGGUGUAGCGGUGAAAUGCGCAGAUAUCAGGAGGAACACCGAUGGCGAAGGCAGGUCUCUGGGCCACUACUGACGCUGAGAAGCGAAAGCGUGGGGAGCGAACAGG
rnacentral:rRNA from 1 species